CCUAGUGGCGAACGGGUGAGUAACACGUGAGUAACCUGCCCUUGACUCUGGGAUAAGCCUGGGAAACUGGGUCUAAUACUGGAUAUGACUCUUCACCGCAUGGUGGGGGGUGGAAAGCUUUUGUGGUUUUGGAUGGACUCGCGGCCUAUCAGCUUGUUGGUGGGGUAAUGGCCUACCAAGGCGACGACGGGUAGCCGGCCUGAGAGGGUGGACGGCCACACUGGGACUGAGACACGGCCCAGACUCCUACGGGAGGCAGCAGUGGGGAAUAUUGCACAAUGGGCAGCAAGCCUGAUGCAGCGACGCCGCGUGAGGGAUGAAGGCCUUCGGGUUGUAAACCUCUUUCAGUAGGGAAGAAGCGAAAGUGACGGUACCUGCAGAAGAAGCGCCGGCUAACUACGU
rnacentral:rRNA from 1 species